CCACCACCCCUCUCUACCCCACCCCCUCCUCCCCACGCUUUACCCUCCCCUCCUACUCCCUGCUUCCCUGCAGGCUCCUGCUCCUCCUCUCUGGAAGACGCUCUUGUAUUUCGGUCGCACAGCGUGUUUCAAUGGGUUUCAAUGGGUUUCAAUGGGUUUCAAUGUGUUUCAGUGGGUUUCAAUGGGUUUCACUGGGUUUCAAUGUGUUUCAAUGGGUUUCAACGGGUUUCAAUGGGUUUCAACGUGUUUUCAAUGUGUUUUGACAUGAGUUUCUUCACCUUGCUAAAUGUGUUGCUUUUGUGUUGUUAACGGACCCCCUGUGGAGGAAGCGUUGCGCGUGAGCGAUGUUUCUUAGGUUGUGUUGGCGAAAAGAAAACAUAUUGUGUUUGGUACUGCUGCACUUAAAAAGAGGAAAAGAAAACAUUGUAUUUGGUACUGCUGCACUUAAAAAGAGGAAAAGAAAACAUUGUAUUUGGUACUGCUGCACUUAAAAAGGAGAAAAGAAAACAUUGUAUUUGGUACUGCUGCACUUAAAAAGAGGAAAAGAAAACAUUGUAUUUGGUACUGCUGCACUUAAAAAGAGGAAAAGAAAACACGCACACAAAGACACACAGAUAGUCUUAGGAGCCUAUGCUGCUCCCCGGUACUGAACUUCUGCAUACAGUGCCUCCAUAUGGCUGUGAAACCCCUAUGGCUCCCUUAACACACGCCCUCCUUCUCCCGCUCCACCGGUUCAACAGAGUCCGCAAGGAGCUCCCUGAUGGUCUCAGAACGUUUGCAUGGUGUGGUUAAAUAUAUGUAAUCUGUUGUUUCUGCAGAAAUAUAUUUCUGUUAGCAUCAAACUACUGGUCCUGUGUCUGCCUCUUUGCUUGUCUUUUCUUUACUUUAAUUGCAGGGCAUACACAUUGUAUAAUGUAUGAUUGUACAUUAUCCGUAACAUAUAUGAAGGAAGGCAAUGCUCUAACCACUAAACCACAUUGCAUUAAAAACUUGACCCUAAAUAUCGAGUUUAUUUUCCUCUCCUAUUGUUUAUCCUGCAAUAUGAAUGACAGGUUUUAGAAUUGCUACGUCAAUGUUUACCUAAGGAUGGACCCGAUAGAUGGAGAUGCUCCUGGACCUGCUCACGAGUCACGACUAUCUUUGGCGACCUACCUGAGCAAUGCACACCAAGUAUUGAUACGUAAUACUGAUAUUGUCCACUAGAUG
ensembl:lncRNA